GAUGGAAGAGGGAAGCUUCUGCAGAGCCCAAACCAGCCCCAUUCCCUGGAAAGUGCAUUUCAUCAGACCCGACCCAGGCUGGAUUGUUAAAGACAGGAGGUCUGCGAUCAGAGCAGCCUGGAAAGCCAGAGAACAUUCCAGAUCCAGAGACCCUUAUUCCAAGAAGGUGGAAGUGAGUUGCCAGGCAGACCUAGCUUUUGGGGACACCAUUCAGCCCACUACAGAGAGUGUUCAAGAAAUUCUCCUUCCUCAGCCUCCCAAGUAGCUGGGACUACAGACUCUCACUGUGUCGCCCAGUCUGGAGUGCAACGGUGCGAUCUCGGCCCACUGCAACCUCCGCCUCCUGGGUGUAAGCGAUUCUCCUGCCUCAACCUCCCAAGUAGCCGGGAUUACAUGCACGCGCUACCACGCAAAG